UAGGCUAUGGCUGGGCUAUUUGCUUGUUUUGAUGGUGUUGCAGGAGGAUUUUUAGUGUUGAUGAUGUGGCAAGAGCAGUUUGUGGCUAGGCUAUUACUGGGCUAUUCCUAUGGUGGAUGGUCAUAUGCAAAACGACGAGGCCAAGAUCUUGCUGGGAUUUCCCCCUAAUUUCGUCCCCUCCCAAUCUCAGUUUCACAAAACACUUUUGCUAUCAAUCCAAACCUAACUUCAACUCUAAUUUUAAUUUGGUUUGCAGAUUAAGUCUGCCUACUGAAGGAAGGUUUGGGAAACUCACCCCGAUCGAUUUACGCCCCAUCUGAAAGCCCAAGCCGACUCCAAUUUCAAAUUGGUUUGUCAAAUUUUAUUUGGGGUAUUCAAUCUUUGAUGGCCAGGCUACUAAUUGUUGAUUGAUGAAUGCAGCUCUCAGAAGCGCAUACCUUGUUGAACUCUUCAGGCAACUUUUGCUGUUCAUCAUGAUCAAUAUGUGAAAUUGGAAUUAUGAUUUGGAAUCAUUUGUAGUAUGUUUGUUUUGAGAAAAAUAGGAUUAGGAGAUAGGUAAAGAGUGUUUAUUUUUCAUGAUUGACUUUGUUGACCUUGCCACUUAGUUUGUCCCACUCACUUUCUAUAUUUGGAUAUAAAUCCCCCUCUUUAUUAAAAUAUUCAACUACUCUAGUUACUCCACCUAACAACUCCUCCUAAAAUCUCGUGCCACUCAAGAAUGUGGACAUUUUGAGUGGGACGGAGGGGGUACUUAUCUUUCUUAGUAAAGGCUCCCUAGUUUAGAAAGCAAGUGGGAUAACUAUAUGAAAAUUGGUGGGAAAAUUUUUAGCACCUCGUGAAUUGGCUUUGUUGGUACAAUGGCAAUCUUGAAAGUAGGUUAUGAGUUGAAAGUAGAUCUGAACUCAGCUCCUUGUGAAUUGGCUUUGUUGGUGCAAUGGAAAAUUUGAAAGUAGGUUAUGAGUUGGAAGUAGAUUUCAACUCAGCUCCUAAUGAACUGGCUUUGUUGGUAAAAUGACAAUCUUGAAAUAGGGUUAUGAGUAAUGGUAGUUGGUGGAUUCUCUAAUCAAUUCACAAGUAGAAACAAGGAUUGUUGAUCGAAGAUAAGAUUGUUGCAUCAUUUUAGAUGUUAAAAACCACAUACACUGACUUCCCUAUGAAUGGGAAUUGCAGGAGGAAGCAGAAGAAGAGCUCCAACAGCAGCACCCUACUACUCUAAGGUGGUGAGGACUGGUGUCCCAAACUCAAAGGGUGGACGAGGCGGUAUGAGAGCUGCAUCGGCUCCUUUUCUUUUAAUCAUAUUUGGAGCACUUGCGGAUUAACUGCUUCGAGGGCUUAUCAAAGACAGAAGGAGGCUCAUCCCUGUUUCAAUCCCUUUCUCCCUUGAACUUCAGUCCAUGUUUAAUCACUUAGGAUACCCCUUCCUGUUCCAUUGCACUGUGUUGUUGCAUAAUACUCCCUCCGUCUCCCAAAAUUCGUCACCAUUUGACCGGACACGGGUUUUAAGAAAUAUAAUAGAAAGUGAGUUGAAAAA